rnacentral:rRNA from 1 species
GAUGAACGCUGGCGGCGUGCCUAAUACAUGCAAGUCGAGCGAACAGACGAGGAGCUUGCUCCUCUGACGUUAGCGGCGGACGGGUGAGUAACACGUGGAUAACCUACCUAUAAGACUGGGAUAACUUCGGGAAACCGGAGCUAAUACCGGAUAAUAUAUUGAACCGCAUGGUUCAAUAGUGAAAGACGGUUUUGCUGUCACUUAUAGAUGGAUCCGCGCCGCAUUAGCUAGUUGGUAAGGUAACGGCUUACCAAGGCGACGAUGCGUAGCCGACCUGAGAGGGUGGUCGGCCACACUGGAACCGAGACACGGUCCCGACUCCUACGGGAGGCAGCAGUAGGGAAUCUUUCGCAAUGGGCGAAAGCCUGACGGAGCAACGCCGCGUGAGUGAUGAAGGUCUUCGGAUCGUAAAACUCUGUUAUUAGGGAAGAACAAAUGUGUAAGGAACUAUGCACGUCUUGACGGUACCUAAUCAGAAAGCCACGGCUAACUACGUG